rnacentral:ncRNA from 1 species
GCCUAUCAAGUCUUGACAAACUCCGAAUGCGUGUCAGUUCUAUGUCAGGAGUGAGGGCAUGGGUGCUAAGGUCCAUGUCCUAAAGGAGAACAAUCCGGACCAACAGCUAAGGUCCCAAAAUGAAUACUAAGUUGAACUAACGAAGUCAGAUUGCUAAGACAGCUAGGAUGUUGGCUUGGAAGCAGCCAUUCAUUUAAAGAGUGCGUAACAGCUCACUAGUCGAGGAGUUUGGC